AGUGAACGCUGGCGGUAGGCCUAACACAUGCAAGUCGAACGGCAGCACAGUAAGAGCUUGCUCUUACGGGUGGCGAGUGGCGGACGGGUGAGGAAUACAUCGGAAUCUACUUUUUCGUGGGGGAUAACGUAGGGAAACUUACGCUAAUACCGCAUACGACCUACUGGUGAAAGCAGGGGAUCUUCGGACCUUGCCCGAUUGAAUGAGCCGAUGUCGGAUUAGCUAGUUGGCGGGGUAAAGGCCCACCAAGGCGACGAUCCGUAGCUGGUCUGAGAGGAUGAUCAGCCACACUGGAACUGAGACACGGUCCAGACUCCUACGGGAGGCAGCAGUGGGGAAUAUUGGACAAUGGGCGCAAGCCUGAUCCAGCCAUACCGCGUGGGUGAAGAAGGCCUUCGGGUUGUAAAGCCCUUUUGUUGGGAAAGAAAAGCAGCAGGUUAAUACCCCGCUGUUCUGACGGUACCCAAAGAAUAAGCACCGGCUAACUUCGUG
rnacentral:rRNA from 1 species